GACAGAGGUGCCGAGCGUUAGGCGGAAUCACUGGGCUUAAAGCGUGUGUAGGCGGGCCGUUAAGUGUCUUGUGAAAUCCCCCGGCUCAACCGGGGAAUUGCUGGGCAUACUGGCGGUCUUGAGCAAUCUAGGGGCAGAUGGAACAAGUGGUGGAGCGGUGAAAUGCGUAGAUAUCACUUGGAACGCCAAAGGUGAAGACAGUCUGCUGGGGAUUUGCUGACGCUGAGACACGAAAGCCAGAGGAGCGAACGGG
rnacentral:rRNA from 1 species